rnacentral:rRNA from 1 species
GACGAACGCUGGCGGCGUGCUUAACACAUGCAAGUCGAACGGAAAGGCCCUGCUUUUGUGGGGUGCUCGAGUGGCGAACGGGGGAGUAACACGUGAGGAACCUGCCCUUGACUUUGGGAUAACUUCAGGAAACUGGGGCUAAUACCGGAUAGGAGCUCCUGCUGCAUGGUGGGGGUUGGAAAGUUUCGGCGGUUGGGGAUGUACUCGCGGCUUAUCAGCUAGUUGGUAAGGUAGUGGCUUACCAAGGCUAUGACGGGUAGCCGGCCUGAGAGGGUGAUCGGCCACACUGGAACGGAGACACGGUCCAGACGCCUACGGGAGGCAGCAGUAGGGAAUCUUCCGCAAUGGGCGAAAGCCUGACGGAGCAACGCCGCGUGAGUGAUGAAGGUCUUCGGAGCGUAAAACUCUGUUAUGAGGGAAGAACAAAUGUGUAAGGAACUAUGCACGUCUGGACGGUACCUAAUCAGAAAGCCACGGCUAACUACGUG